CCUUUUAAUGUUCAAGUUAAAUGGUUUCCACAUGCAUACAAACAAGUCUAUUCAUCAUAUUAAUAACAUCAUAAAAUAAUAUAAUCAGUUUACAUCAUAUGUAAAAGAUCACAUUUUGCAUAGAUAUUUGAUAUCACAAAGAACUUGGACGAGCUCUGAUACCACUGAUAGUAUGCAUGCAGAGGGCUAAGCAUGAAUUUCAGAAAAUUUUAUGCGGAAAGAAUGGGUUAAACAUUUUAACCUAAAACAUGCUUGAUAUUUUAGAUAUUUUUGACUCUGGUACCAGUCGAAUACAAUCUUCAACUGCACAUCACAUGUGGCGCAGGCUCAGUCCCAAUACAUAGGGUGACACCCGCGCGUGCCUAUCAAAGUACUCAUCAUAUGAGCCCCCGGGUGGAGCGCCACGCUUCGUCACACGAUCACGCGUGAGAGUUUCCGGGAAUCGGAUAGUCUCCACUAACCCUUUGCUUUGACAUCAAAUAUCACAAAGCCCUCAGAUCCCGAGGAU
rnacentral:lncRNA from 1 species